GACGAACGCUGGCGGCGUGCCUAAUACAUGCAAGUCGAGCGAAUCAAUAGGAGCUUGCUCCUGUUGAUUAGCGGCGGACGGGUGAGUAACACGUGGGCAGCCUGCCUGUAAGAUCGGGAUAACUUCGGGAAACCGGAGCUAAUACCGGAUAAUCCUUUUCCACAUAUGUGGGAAAGCUGAAAGACGGUUUCGGCUGUCACUUACAGAUGGGCCCGCGGCGCAUUAGCUAGUUGGUGAGGUAACGGCUCACCAAGGCGACGAUGCGUAGCCGACCGGAGAGGGUGAUCGGCCACACUGGGACUGAGACACGGCCCAGACUCCUACGGGAGGCAGCAGUAGGGAAUCUUCCGCAAUGGACGAAAGUCUGACGGAGCAACGCCGCGUGAGCGAUGAAGGCCUUCGGGUCGUAAAGCUCUGUUGUUAGGGAAGAACAAGUAUCGGAGUAACUGCCGGUACCUUGACGGUACCUAACCAGAAAGCCACGGCUAACUACGUGCCAGCAGCCGCCGCGG
rnacentral:rRNA from 1 species